rnacentral:rRNA from 1 species
UACGUAGGGUGCAAGCGUUAAUCGGAAUUACUGGGCGUAAAGCGCACGUAGGCGGAUCGUUAAGUCGGGGGUGAAAUCCUGGAGCUCAACUCCAGAACUGCCUUCGAUACUGGCGAUCUCGAGUCCGGAAGAGGUGAGUGGAACUCCUAGUGUAGAGGUGGAAUUCGUAGAUAUUAGGAAGAACACCAGUGGCGAAAGGCGGCUCACUGGUCCGGUACUGACGCUGAUGUGCGAAAGCGUGGGGAGCAAACAGG